CAGCAGCCGCGGUAAUACGGAGGGAGCUAGCGUUGUUCGGAAUUACUGGGCGUAAAGCGCGCGUAGGCGGUUACUCAAGUCAGAGGUGAAAGCCCGGGGCUCAACCCCGGAACUGCCUUUGAAACUAGGUGACUAGAAUCUUGGAGAGGUCAGUGGAAUUCCGAGUGUAGAGGUGAAAUUCGUAGAUAUUCGGAGGAACACCAGUGGCGAAGGCGGCUCACUGGUCCGGUACUGACGCUGAGGUGCGAAAGCGUGGGGAGCAAACAGGAUUAGAUACCCCAGUAGUCCCUGUCUCUUAUAA
rnacentral:rRNA from 1 species